AGCUCCAAGAAGAUGACACAGCUCAAAAUAAAAAUUUGCAAUCAGUACAACCAAGUCAUCGUUAUAAGGCAUCGCCCUCUUUUCCCACCCCCCCAGCACCAGGUGUGGCCACUAGCCUAUAUGAAGGCCCAAAAUUGUGUGUUCCUUUCUGCUCUGACAAUGGCAUGCCCAUUCGUGCGAGAUGUGGUGGAUGAA